GCUGGACAUGGUGGUGCACGCCUGUAAUCCCAGCUACUCGGGAGGCUGAGGCAGGAGAAUCGCUUGAACCCAGGAGGCAGAGGGUGCAGUGAGCCAAGAUUGUGCCACUGCACUCCUGCCUGGGCAACAGAGCAAGACUCUGUCUCAA
rnacentral:SRP_RNA from 1 species